rnacentral:rRNA from 1 species
UGAAAUAACCCAUUAAAGCACAGAAAAGCAGAGACUUCCCCUCGUACCUUUUGCAUCAUGAUUCAGCAAGUUAACUCAAGCAAAGAGCACUCUAGUUUGCACCCCCGAAACUUGACGAGCUACUCCGAGACAGCCAUCUAUGGGCCAACCCGUCUCUGUGGCAAAAGAGUGGGAAGAUCUCCGAGUAGAGGCAAAAAACCUACCGAGCCAAGUUAUAGCUGGUUGCCCAAUAAAUGAAUACAAGUUCAGCCCUGCCUAGCCCAACUCACACCAGUUUAACGAAAAAAGACAAAGAGCUAACCCGCAGGAGUUAAUCAGAGGAGGUACAGCUCCCCUGAUAUAGGAUACAACCUUUUUAGGCGACAAAAGAAUAAUACCAAACAAGGCCUUAGGUCUCAGUGGGCCUGAAAGCAGCCAUCUGACCUGAAAGCGUUAAAGCUCCGACCAAAAGUUAAGCCUUUUAUAAAAUAUAUAUUUCUGCUCCCCUAAAUUCCAUUGGGCCUCUCCAUGCACUCAUGGAAGAGACUAUGCUGAAACGAGUAACAAGAAGAAUGAACUUCUCCACGCACAAGUGUAUGUCAGAUUGGACUAACCACCGACAAUCAACGAACCCAACAAAAGAGGACCCUACACGCCCGCCACCUAUGGCCAAGAAAAGCAUGUUCCCCCUAAUCGUUGCCCCGACACAGGAGUGCCAGAAAAAGGAAAGACCAAAAGAAAAAAAAGGAACUCGGCAAACCUAGACCUCGCCUGUUUACCAAAAACAUCGCCUCUUGCAUUACAAAAUAUAAGAGGUCCCACCUGCCCUGUGACUCUAAGUUUAACGGCCGCGGUAUUCUAACCGUGCGAAGGUAGCGCAAUCAAUUGCCUUUUAAAUGAAGGCCUGUAUGAAUGGUAUAACGAGGGUCUGACUGUCUCUUUUUUCUAGUCAGUUAAACUGAUCUGUCCGUGCAGAAGCGGACAUCUCAAUACAAGACGAGAAGACCCUAUGGAGCUUUAGACACUAGCCAACUGUGAAUAAGCGAUUGAAUUACACAAAUCUUAAAUGCCCACAGCCCUGGUAAUGUAGUCUUAGGUUGGGGCGACCACGGGAGAAAGCAAAGCUCCCAAGCAGACCGGGACAACCCUUAAGCCGAGAGUUGCAACUCUAAGCCGCAAAAAUUUUGACUGAAAUGAUCCGGUUUAAAAACCGAUUAACGAACCAAGUUACCCUAGGGAUAACAGCGCAAUCCCCUCCCAGAGUCCCUAUCGACGAGGGGGUUUACGACCUCGAUGUUGGAUCAGGACAUCCUAAUGGUGCAGCCGCUAUUAA